CAGCCGCCACGGGAAUACGAAGGGUGCAAGCGUUAAUCGGAAUUACUGGGCGUAAAGCGUGCGUAGGCGGACUGUUUAGUCAGAGGUGAAAGCCCAGGGCUCAACCUUGGAAUUGCCUUUGAUACUGGCAGUCUUGAGUACGGAAGAGGUAUGUGGAACUCCGAGUGUAGAGGUGAAAUUCGUAGAUAUUCGGAAGAACACCAGUGGCGAAGGCGACAUACUGGUCCGUUACUGACGCUGAGGCUCGAAAGCGUGGGGAGCAAACAGGAUUAGAUACCCGAGUAGUCCCUGUCUCUUAUAC
rnacentral:rRNA from 1 species